ACGGCUCAGUAACACGUGGAUAAUCUGCCCUAAGGUCAGGCAUAACACCGGGAAACUGGUGAUAAUUCCUGAUAUACCAUAGAUACUGGAAUGUUCUGUGGUCAAAAGCUCCGGCGCCUUAGGAUGAAUCUGCGGCCUAUCAGGUUGUAGUGGGUGUAACGUACCUACUAGCCGACGACGGGUACGGGUUGUGAGAGCAAGAGCCCGGAGAUGGAUUCUGAGACAUGAAUCCAGGCCCUACGGGGCGCAGCAGGCGCGAAAACUUUACAAUGCGGGAAACCGCGAUAAGGGGACACUGAGUGCCAGCAUACAAUGUUGGCUGUCCGCAUGUAUAAAUAGCAUGUGUUAGCAAGGGCCGGGCAAGACCGGUGCCAGCCGCCGCGGUAACACCGGCGGCCCGAGUGGUGGCCACUAUUAUUGGGUCUAAAGGGUCCGUAGCCGGUUUGAUCAGUCUUCCGGGAAAUCUGACAGCUCAACUGUUAGGCUUCCGGGGGAUACUGUCAGACUUGGGACCGGGAGAGGUAAGAGGUACUACAGGGGUAGGAGUGAAAUCUUGUAAUCCUUGUGGGACCACCAGUGGCGAAGGCGUCUUACCAGAACGGGCCCGACGGUGAGGGACGAAAGCUGGGGGCACGAACCGGAUUAGAUACCCGGGUAGUCCCAGCCGUAAACGAUGCUCGCUAGGUGUCUGGGAUGGUGCGACCGUUUCAGGUGCCGCAGGGAAGCCGUGAAGCGAGCCACCUGGGAAGUACGGCCGCAAGGCUGAAACUUAAAGGAAUUGGCGGGGGAG
rnacentral:rRNA from 1 species